UAGAGAAUUUGACACACAAAACAAGCCAAGUUAAAAUGUGGGGAGAAAAAUUCUAAUUAUUUGAACUUUUCUGUUGUUUAGAUUCAUGAGGAAUCUGAGCUUACUGAAGUUAUUCUUUAAUGAAAGAUUCAGUUUUUGCUUAUUCAAAGAAGCAAUCCCUUUGGAGAAGGGUCCCACUAUCCGUAACACCAACUGCCGACCAACUGCCACCAAUGGGGAGCUAAGCUCAAGGGUCCCUGGAACAGAAGCACCCCCUACAACACUGGCCCUCCUUCCAGCCCAGUCCCUUAAGUCAUUGUUCAGGGAAGCAACCACUGUAGAGAAGGGGCCAGCCAUUCCCACCAACUGCCAAUCAACUGCCACCUUUAGGGCAGGAAUUCCAUAGCUUUAUCAAAGGCUCUGCCCAACCAUCCCUGCUGUGAAGUUACUUUGUUUCCUCUAGACUUGUGUUUGGGACAACUCUUGAUCCAUAACAUUUCUUUAUCAUUGGUUUUGCUCAAGUUGCCAGAAGAGUCUAUAGCUUUCUAGGUACAAAGCUGGCUCUAUCUGAUUGACUUAAGAGAUUACAGAAAAAGUCAAAGCAAGAAAUGAAAUAAACCAAGCCAUAUAUUCCUGGGAAGAAAAGAGACAUGAGUAGGAGGAAAAUGUGGCUUUUUUACUUUGGCAAUAUUUCAGCCUACAGAAGUACAUUUAACAAUCAAAUUCCUUUUGAUGGGGAAAA